rnacentral:tRNA from 1 species
AGGUUGUUAGUCUAAAAAAAACAUUUGAUUUCGGCUCAAAAACUUAUGGUUUAAGUCCAUGACUGCCUA